AGUUUUUCUUGGAACUUUUUCAAUAACGCCUGGAUGUUUGCUUUUUCCAUUAGAUAAACGUCGAUUUUUUGCUGUUGUUGAUGGACGCACUCUGUUUCUACCCGGGUGACGUAUUCUCACAUGAGCAGAAUGAUUCUUCGACACUUUUUGCAGCGUUUCAUGCUGAUGAAAUAUUUGGAAUAAAAUGAAUCGGAGCUUUGGCGGAACACCGGGUAGGGUACUACCAGGUAGAAAUUAUAUGUUUCCCCCUUCUGUGGACUCUGGUGCCCUCACGACAGUCUGUCGUACCUCACACACGUGUUACGCGGUUAAGGAACCUUCAUUAUUGAAUAUAUUGGUAUUCUACAGUUGUAUUAAAACAAAACAGGCAAGUAGUGCAACAUCAUUGACAACAUGGUCCCGAUGACCAUGAUUGGUAGAUAGCUUGCUGUGAGUUGUAAUAAAAUUGAUAUUUUAACAAA